rnacentral:rRNA from 1 species
GACGAACGCUGGCGGCGUGCCUAAUACAUGCAAGUUGAGCGCUGAAGGUUGGUACUUGUACCAACUGGAUGAGCAGCGAACGGGUGAGUAACGCGUGGGGAAUCUGCCUUUGAGCGGGGGACAACAUUUGGAAACGAAUGCUAAUACCGCAUAAAAACUUUAAACACAAGUUUUAAGUUUGAAAGAUGCAAUUGCAUCACUCAAAGAUGAUCCCGCGUUGUAUUAGCUAGUUGGUGAGGUAAAGGCUCACCAAGGCGAUGAUACAUAGCCGACCUGAGAGGGUGAGCGGCCACAUUGGGACUGAGACACGGCCCAAAGUCCUACGGGAGGCAGCAGUAGGGAAUCUUCGGCAAUGGACGAAAGUCUGACCGAGCAACGCCGCGUGAGUGAAGAAGGUUGUCGGAUCGUAAAACUCUGUUGGUAGAGAAGAACGUUGGUGAGAGUGGAAAGCUCAUCAAGUGACGGUAACUACCCAGAAAGGGACGGCUAACUACGUG